CAGUCGCCGCGGUAAUACGAAGGGUGCAAGCGUUACUCGGAAUUACUGGGCGUAAAGGGUGCGUAGGCGGUUGUUUAAGUCUGUUGUGAAAGCCCUGGGCUCAACCUGGGAAUUGCAGUGGAUACUGGGUCACUAGAGUGUGGUAGAGGAUAGUGGAAUUUCCGGUGUAGCAGUGAAAUGCGUAGAGAUCGGAAGGAACAUCUGUGGCGAAGGCGACUAUCUGGGCCAACACUGACACUGAGGCACGAAAGCGUGGGGAGCAAACAGGAUUAGAUACCCCCGUAGUCCCUGUCUCUUAUAC
rnacentral:rRNA from 1 species